CCCUUAGAUGUCCGGGGCCGCACGCGCGCUACACUGAUGAAUUCAACGAGCUCCUAACCUAGGCCGAAGGGUCCGGGUAAUCUUUGAAAUUUCAUCGUGAUGGGGAUAGAUUAUUGCAAUUAUUAAUCUUCAACGAGGAAUUCCUAGUAAGCGCGAGUCAUCAGCUCGCGUUGAUUACGUCCCUGCCCUUUGUACACACCGCCCGUCGCUCCUACCGAUUGAAUGGUCCGGUGAAAUGUUCGGACCGCGACAAGGCGGACGGUUCGCUGUCAGCUUUGCUGCGGGAAGUUCAUUAAACCUUAUCAUUUAGAGGAAGGAGAAGUCGUAACA
rnacentral:rRNA from 1 species